AUGAACGCUAGCUACAGGCUUAACACAUGCAAGUCGAGGGGCAGCAUGGUCUUAGCUUGCUAAGGCCGAUGGCGACCGGCGCACGGGUGAGUAACACGUAUCCAACCUGCCGUCUACUCUUGGACAGCCUUCUGAAAGGAAGAUUAAUACAAGAUGGCAUCAUGAGUCCGCAUGUUCACAUGAUUAAAGGUAUUCCGGUAGACGAUGGGGAUGCGUUCCAUUAGAUAGUAGGCGGGGUAACGGCCCACCUAGUCUUCGAUGGAUAGGGGUUCUGAGAGGAAGGUCCCCCACAUUGGAACUGAGACACGGUCCAAACUCCUACGGGAGGCAGCAGUGAGGAAUAUUGGUCAAUGGGCGAGAGCCUGAACCAGCCAAGUAGCGUGAAGGAUGACUGCCCUAUGGGUUGUAAACUUCUUUUAUAAAGGAAUAAAGUCGGGUAUGGAUACCCGUUUGCAUGUACUUUAUGAAUAAGGAUCGGCUAACUCCGUGCCAGCAGCCGCGGUAAUACGGAGGAUCCGAGCGUUAUCCGGAUUUAUUGGGUUUAAAGGGAGCGUAGAUGGAUGUUUAAGUCAGUUGUGAAAGUUUGCGGCUCAACCGUAAAAUUGCAGUUGAUACUGGAUAUCUUGAGUGCAGUUGAGGCAGGCGGAAUUCGUGGUGUAGCGGUGAAAUGCUUAGAUAUCACGAAGAACUCCGAUUGCGAAGGCAGCCUGCUAAGCUGCAACUGACAUUGAGGCUCGAAAGUGUGGGUAUCAAACAGGAUUAGAUACCCUGGUAGUCCACACGGUAAACGAUGAAUACUCGCUGUUUGCGAUAUACAGCAAGCGGCCAAGCGAAAGCGUUAAGUAUUCCACCUGGGGAGUACGCCGGCAACGGUGAAACUCAAAGGAAUUGACGGGGGCCCGCACAAGCGGAGGAACAUGUGGUUUAAUUCGAUGAUACGCGAGGAACCUUACCCGGGCUUAAAUUGCAGAUGAAUUACGGUGAAAGCCGUAAGCCGCAAGGCAUCUGUGAAGGUGCUGCAUGGUUGUCGUCAGCUCGUGCCGUGAGGUGUCGGCUUAAGUGCCAUAACGAGCGCAACCCUUGUUGUCAGUUACUAACAGGUCAUGCUGAGGACUCUGACAAGACUGCCAUCGUAAGAUGUGAGGAAGGUGGGGAUGACGUCAAAUCAGCACGGCCCUUACGUCCGGGGCUACACACGUGUUACAAUGGGGGGUACAGAGGGCCGCUACCACGCGAGUGGAUGCCAAUCCCCAAAACCUCUCUCAGUUCGGACUGGAGUCUGCAACCCGACUCCACGAAGCUGGAUUCGCUAGUAAUCGCGCAUCAGCCACGGCGCGGUGAAUACGUUCCCGGGCCUUGUACACACCGCCCGUCACACCACGAGAGUUUGUAACACCCGAAGUCGGUGAGGUAACCUUUUUGGAGCCAGCCGCCUAAGGUGGGAUAGAUGAUUGGGGUG
rnacentral:rRNA from 1 species